rfam:Chaetura pelagica isolate M959 contig60410, whole genome shotgun sequence.
CAUCUGGCUAUUCUUGUAGCCAUAAAACAGUCACUAAAAAAAAUAUU